UGCAAGUCGAGCGGAACGAUCCUAGCUUGCUAGGAGGCGUCGAGCGGCGGACGGGUGAGUAAUGCAUAGGAAUCUGCCCGGUAGUGGGGGAUAACUUGAGGAAACUCAAGCUAAUACCGCAUACGCCCUACGGGGGAAAGCAGGGGCUCUUCGGACCUUGCGCUAUCGGAUGAGCUUAUGUCGGAUUAGCUGGUUGGUGAGGUAACGGCUCACCAAGGCGACGAUCCGUAGCUGGUCUGAGAGGAUGAUCAGCCACAUCGGGACUGAGACACGGCCCGAACUCCUACGGGAGGCAGCAGUGGGGAAUAUUGGACAAUGGGGGCAACCCUGAUCCAGCCAUGCCGCGUGUGUGAAGAAGGCCCUCGGGUUGUAAAGCACUUUCAGCGAGGAAGAAUGCUUGUCGGUUAAUACCCGGCAAGGGAGACAUCACUCGCAGAAGAAGCACCGGCUAACUCCGUGCCAGCAGCCGCGGUAAUACGGAGGGUGCGAGCGUUAAUCGGAAUUACUGGGCGUAAAGCGUGCGUAGGCGGCUUGAUAAGCCGGUUGUGAAAGCCCCGGGCUCAACCUGGGAACGGCAUCCGGAACUGUUAGGCUAGAGUGCAGGAGAGGAAGGUAGAAUUCCCGGUGUAGCGGUGAAAUGCGUAGAGAUCGGGAGGAAUACCAGUGGCGAAGGCGGCCUUCUGGACUGACACUGACGCUGAGGUACGAAAGCGUGGGUAGCAAACAGGAUUAGAUACCCUGGUAGUCCACGCCGUAAACGAUGUCGACUAGCCGUUGGGGUCCUCGAGACCUUUGUGGCGCAGUUAACGCACUAAGUCGACCGCCUGGGGAGUACGGCCGCAAGGUUAAAACUCAAAUGAAUUGACGGGGCCCGCACAAGCGGUGGAGCAUGUGGUUUAAUUCGAUGCAACGCGAAGAACCUUACCU
rnacentral:rRNA from 1 species